rnacentral:misc_RNA from 1 species
CUAGCAGCAAGAUACUAUAAUACAGCAUUAGUGUUUGCGUCAGUUGUAUUAGAUCCAUAGAACUCAAUCAAUCUCUGCAAAACAAAGACUUGGGUCCUCAAGAGGAGAAUGUAAUUUGCAGUUUCUUGAAACAACUGGUCAUCUUUUACAAUCUCUCGACUGUGGGGAGGAAUGAGGUUCUUGAGAGCCUCCAGCUUGUCUGAGACCUUGGAGCAAGAGCGUCCACCAUUGGAGGUGCUUCUUUGAGCUUUGCAGGCACGUAGAUGUAGUCUUCUUCUUCUUUGAGAGAUUGGGGUGUUUCUUCUUCUUCUUCUUGGUGUCUUUCUGAGUGAAAUCUUGGAAUUCUUUGAGAUUGAGCUCAUGUUGUAGUUGAGCGUUUGAG